GAGGGCAUUACAACGCCACAAACAGGCCUGGCAUUUGUACUACAUCGUUAUCAGGCAUUUUCAGUGAUUUCGUUUGGAUGCAGAUAUUCCCUGAAACGACUCCAUGUUUACAGAGCACCUUAUUGAAAAUGACAAAGAAGAAGAUCAGAUAGGAAAAGAUGCGGUUUCAUGUGGACAUGGCCUUAAAGUUUUCCAAGAUGUGU